AUUGAACGCUGGCGGCAUGCCUUACACAUGCAAGUCGAACGGUAACGGGCCUUCGGGUGCCGACGAGUGGCGAACGGGUGAGUAAUGUAUCGGAACGUACCUUUCAGUGGGGGAUAACGUAGCGAAAGUUACGCUAAUACCGCAUAUUCUGUGAGCAGGAAAGCAGGGGAUCGCAAGACCUUGCGCUGAUUGAGCGGCCGAUAUCAGAUUAGCUAGUUGGUGAGGUAAAGGCUCACCAAGGCGACGAUCUGUAGCGGGUCUGAGAGGAUGAUCAGCCGCACUGGAACUGAGACACGGUCCAGACUCCUACGGGAGGCAGCAGUGGGGAAUUUUGGACAAUGGGGGCAACCCUGAUCCAGCCAUGCCGCGUGAGUGAAGAAGGCCUUCGGGUUGUAAAGCUCUUUCGGCCGGGAAGAAAUCGUAUCAGCUAAUACCUGGUGCGGAUGACGGUACCGGCAUAAGAAGCACCGGCUAACUACGUGCCAGCCGCCGCGGUAACAC
rnacentral:rRNA from 1 species